AUUGAACGCUGGCGGCAGGCCUAACACAUGCAAGUCGAACGAGUGGCGGACGGGUGAGUAAUGUCUGGGAAACUGCCCGAUGGAGGGGGAUAACUCCUGGAAACGGUGGCUAAUACCGCAUACAAUCGGAUGUGCCCAGAUGGGAGUAGCUAGUCGGUGGGGUAACGGCUCACAUAGGAGACGAGCCCUAGCUGGUCUGUGAGGAUGACCGGCCACACUGGAACUGAUCCACGGGCCAGACUCUUACGGGAGGCAGCAGUUGGGAAUAUUGCACAAUGGGCGCAAGCCUGAUGCAGCCAUGCCGCGUGUAGGAAGAAGGCCUUCGGGUGGUAAAGUACUUUCAGCGAGGAGGCGUUACUCGCAGAACAAGCACCGGCUAACUCCGUGCCAGCAGCCGCGGUAAUAC
rnacentral:rRNA from 1 species